GAUUUAAAUCAGAUGGUGAUGUCCCAACGGUUACAAAUGUACUUGCUCAGCAAAGGGGAAUGUCGUUGAGAUACAACACAUACUGUUGGAAAUCCAUUGUGAAUGAUUGGCGUGGAAUGCUAUCGGAUAGUGGAUCACAUGUGCACCAAUAAGCUGUUCACGGUCAAUUACAGAUGAAUACGGAAGGAAAGGAAGCAAAGGAAGGAUAGAGAACAAUAUAUUUAAACAUAGCUAACAAAAAAGGAUUUGUUUUCGCAAGAGAAGUAGGGAACGAAGAUAUCCAAAAUAUAUACAUUGUAUAAAAAAAAAGUGGAGGAAAGAAAAAGGACGUUCAGUGGGCCACCUGAUAUGAGAUUGAAUCCUUAUACUUAAUUCGCUUUAUAAGGGGACUUUAAACAUGAACCAUAUGUUACGGCAAAAGACUUUCCCUACAACCGGCAUGCAUGAAGAUGGGAUUUCGGUGUAAUUCCGAGGACAGGGACAAUUCUAAUAUAUAGUUUUGAAUGACUUGUGGUAUAGGUUUAUUUUUGUUUAACGGCCUAUUAACAGCUAGUCAUUGUUGUACUUCACUCGGUUUGCAGUUUAAAAGUGGAAAUGACAUGAACUUCAGGAUUCCUUAAAAUGUGUUUGAAAACUGAUAUAACGAAAGAAGUUGAAAGAAAACUUGAUAUGUAACUUUAAAAUGUUCAGGCGAUGUCUGUUGUCCUGAUAGUCGGUGUGAUGGGUGUUUAAUGGAAUACGAAAGACAAGUGUGAUGGAAAAAAACAAUUGACUGAAUGUUAAAAUGGAAGAUUUAUUUAAAAGUUUAGGAUUGAAGAAAUAGUCUUUAUACAUCAAUGAUAUAUUUUUUUUCUACAGUUUUCAAUGGUGUGUCAUUGCACUGUUGUGCUUUUAGAUGCAACGGUAAUGUCUAACCCUAGAUGUGGAUAAAUUCUGUUUUUUAUUUAUAUAAAAAGCAGUUUCUUAGUUCUUAUCAACAGUAUUUUGAUCAAGAAUAAAAAAGUAAAGUAAACGAGUCAUAUAUUUGUUAGUUUCUGCAAAACAAUUUGUGUUAAUGAAAGAAAGAUUAACUUUUAAUCCAUAAUAAAUGCAAUUCUCACAAAGAAA